rnacentral:rRNA from 1 species
UACGUAGGUGGCAAGCGUUGUCCGGAUUUAUUGGGUUUAAAGGGUGCGUAGGCGGCCCUGUAAGUCAGUGCUGAAAUCUCCCAGCUUAACUGGGAGGGUGGCAUUGAUACUGCGGGGCUAGAGUACAGAUGAGGUAGGCGGAAUUGACGGUGUAGCGGUGAAAUGCUUAGAUAUCGUCAAGAACACCUAUAGCGAAGGCAGCUUACUAGGCUGUAACUGACGCUGAGGCACGAAAGUGUGGGGAUCAAACAGG